rnacentral:rRNA from 1 species
UACGUAGGGGGCGAGCGUUGUCCGGAUUUAUUGGGCGUAAAGAGCGUGUAGGCGGCCAGGUAGGUCUGCUGUGAAAACUCGAGGCUCAACCUCGAGACGUCGGCGGAAACCAUCUGGCUAGAGUCCGGAAGAGGAGAGUGGAAUUCCUGGUGUAGCGGUGAAAUGCGCAGAUAUCAGGAGGAACACCGAUAGCGAAGGCAGCUCGCUGGGACGGUACUGACGCUAAGGCGCGAAAGCGUGGGGAGCGAACAGG